CUUUAAUAUAAUUUAAUAAAUGAACUAUAAUAAUAUUCAUUAUUAUUAUUAUUAUUUUAUCAAAUUAUUUUACAAAACUUAUAUAAAUAUUUAGUUUUUCCCUCUUUUUUCAUUAGAUUUUGGGGUAAAUAUGACCCAAGCUAUUGGACAAGGGUUAGGAAAUUCUAUCAGUACAUCUUUUUAAGUGUCUAAUUAAAUGCAUCAGUGCUUUUAAUCAUUUAAACCUCCCGAAUGUUAAUUUGCAGCUCUAGAAUCAUUAAGGAUGUGUACGAAUGAUUUCUUAAAAUGUUAAUAUCUUUAACUUACUUUCAGAAACAGCCAACCCCUCAGAUACAUGUAUGUCUUGUCGUAUAAUCCCACAGCCUCAAUGUCACAUAUGCAAUGCAUUACCUUUUAAUUGAGAAAAAAAGAUGAAACAUUCAGUCCUUCCUUACGAUGACGGUCAGUUCUCCGCUCCUCCGCAGUUCGAAUGUAACCCAAAAGUAACCGUCCAUAUGUAUUGUACAGUUAUUUGUUUUAUCACUGUCUUUAGUGCCAAAGGCUUCAUCCUCCCUCUUGACUUCACUCUAUUCCGGAUGGCAAGCUGCAUGAAUGGCAGAAUGCGAACAGCGUUUGACCUUAACCGAUUUAAUAUAGAGGAAUAUGGUAAAUUGAGAUCAGAGAUUUAUAUUUAUGAUUUUUCUGGUUAGGUUAGUGAAAAUUGGCUAUUUGUCGAAAUUAUUUUUUUUGUGAGCCCUAAAUGAGUUAUAGUAAUUUAUAUUUCCAUUGUGGACUUUGGCAGACACACUGCCUCUAGUUGAUCAAACAUUAAAGGGCUCUUAUAAGAUUUCUAACCUAAAUGUAUUUGAAACCUUUCUUAAAGAGCUAAUUGACUUUUUAUAUCCAAACAUUUACUUAAAAAGUCUGUUUUUACUUUGAAACAAUGAGCAGGCCUGCGUCAUCUCCUAUAGCGGUCAACUUUUACACGGGUAAAUGCCAAACCAGCUUGACCAAAUCUUUCUGGAUCUCAUCAUUAAGUUAUUCCACAAAUAUAGAUGUUUUGUAAAUCCAGUACUGCAGUCUUGCAUAGAAAUAAUGUUUUGUCUGCCCGUGAGUCUUUUUUCACUGUCUUAUAAUGUGAAUUAUCUCAGUAUGCAUUCUGUCUUCAGCUUCACUGCAUAUUGUUUGGCUUUAUUGCAUCACCGUUAUGUUCUUGUAAAGAAGAUGAUGCCACGAUGGUUUAAAGAUUUGGUUUUUGUAUGUAUCAGCCAUUUCAUGCAAACAUUUAUAUGGCUAGCAUUCCAAACACAGACUGCAGGUUUAUUCCUGGUGAUGAAAAUGCAACAAAUGCAUGAUUUUUACUGUUUUUAUUUAAUGCGUUUCUGAUACUCGCUACAUACUUUUGUGGGGUCGUUGCCAUGGCAAACACUGGGGUGGGUCAUUGCCAUGGUGAAGCCUGGUGCUUGCUGGUGUUUCUCCCAUUUGAGCCAAUAACUGGUGCUAAUCUUUUGUAUCUUUUGAAAAUAAACCGAACUAAACAUGGUGCAGACCAGGGGUGAGUCUUAAAAUACCCGUAUUUAUCAUACCUAGCUUUUUGACAUGUUUGGUGCUCUCAGGUCUUGUGAAACUUGUUUUUACAGCCUGUCUUAGAGGGAAGUCAGGUGUGGAUUCAUGAAUUUUCGUUAACUGCUGUCCUAUGAAACUCUGAAUAAGUCUCAAAUGGCAAAAUAACACCAUCAUUGUCAUCUGCCGUCAUAAAGUACACUGGCAUUUAGAGUAAAGACCUGUCGUACAUCAUUUCCACAGCUUUGUUCGAUCACCCCAGGAUUUGAACAUGGCAACUUGUUCUGGCACUGUUAUAUAUUGUUAAACCUCUAUCACAAAUCUCUAUGUUGUUGUUCCAUUUUUUGGCGAUGAAGGCAGGUCGGAAGACAGGGUUUUUUGCUGUAGUAUUGUUUAAAUCACCACACAGUUCCACUCUCCCAGGGCCUCAUUGUGCAUGAGAGGUGUGUUAGCGCUCUGAGGUAGAUUCGCUGUGCUGCGCAGUAUUGGGAUGGAUCGAUGCUCGGACCAUGUUAGCAGGCUUGCAUUGAGACAUCAGCGCUACUUCACUUGACAGACAGGCUGUAACCAGCUUACUAGAGACCUGCUUUACUGCGUUAGAAGCUGUGGACUGUGUGCAGAUUGCAGUUGCCAAGACUGGAGACUGGUCGUCUUAUUUCCGUUUGCUAGUUUUUUUGGCAGCGUGUGGCCCUGCGACAAUGGUGCUCCGUGACUGACUUUGAAAUUUGAAACUGAGCUACAAAUAUGAGGAUGUAGUAAUGAUAUCAGAGGAUGAUCCUUAGGUGAAUUUCAGGAAAUGAUCUGUAACACAUCUGUGUCGUAUUUCACCCCAAAUCUAAAAAAAGAAAUUAUUACCAGUGUGACGUUUUUAACAAUAAAACAAUAAAAUACAUUUUCCUGCAGUUGUCAUUAAUGUAAUGCUAAAAUAUCUAAUUACUUUAAUGUAAAAAAAAAUAAAAAAUAAAUUGGAAAAUUGGAAAAUGGCUUGAUGUGUUAUAUAAAUAAUAAUUUGGGGACAAGUUUGGCUUAAUUCUCAUGAAAAAAAAUAAUGCUAUAAUGUAACAAACCUUAAGAGUUCACUCAAUAAUUUUCUCAUCAUUUACGCUUCCUCAUGUUUUACAAACCUGUAUGCAUUUUUUUUUUUUCAGUUUACUGGUAGCCAUUGACUUCCACAUGUUUUUUAUUUUUUAUUUUUCUCUGUACAGUGUAGGCCAGAAACUGUUUGGUUACCAACAUUCUUCAAAAUAUCUUCCUUUAUGUUCAACAGAGGACAGAAACUCGUACAGGUUUGGAACAACUAGAGUAAAUGAUGAUAGAAUUUUCAUUUUUGGGUGGACUAUCCUUUUAAUGGUCCAAGAAAAGAGUUAAUUUUCUAUGUGUAAAAUAUAAUUUGUAUUUUUUUUUUUUUUUUACUUUUGAUUGGAGUGAAAUUUGACCUAGAUGUUUUCACGAUUCACCUCUUUGUGAAUUUUAACAACAGAAAACAUAAAAAUAAAACAACAACUAUCCAUUUCUCCAUUGUGUGAGAUUUCAGCCGCACUGGAAAGCACUUCUUAUUUAUUGUCUUUUGAAAAGCGUACAGCACCCCUAAAAGGGCACCAUUUCAGUUUAUGUCUCAUUACGUCUCAUCAUCUCUCUCUAGUCACUCUCUUGAGUCAGGAUUGUUUCUCCUCUGAGUCAUCUGCUGUGAUUGUAUUCUCACUAGAGCAGUGUGUUUAAAGAGCACUCUGCAUUAAGGUCUGAGAGUCUGUAAAAUCAGACUAUGAGGCCGACACACAGAAACCUCAAACCCGCCCUAAUAGGGUUUCAGCAGGCGGCUUUCCUAAGGUUGCAUUGAGUGAGCUACUAUGAUGGGUCAGUUUUUGGGUUGCAUUUAUUGUGAGCUUGAUUGGCCAGUGGUUGCCAGGUAUAUCACUAUGAGAAUCGUUUGCUUUCAGUUAAAAGAAUUGCAACAUCCCUGUAAGAAAUCGGUCUUAAUUGGCAGCAGGAGCUUGUUUGGGCAACCAGUUCUCACAAUUAUUCGAAGUCUGUGUAUUGUAUUUGGUUUUUUGUUGUUUUGAAGAAUGAUUUUUAAGAAACCAGUCUUCAUGGUGGCACCUCCUAAAUGAGCCAUAUAUAUUUAUCACACUUCUCUGCCCAAACUAUUUUCCCCCAUUAAAUGCUAUUUAUUUAUACUGUAAAGACUGAAGUGGUCUGAAAUAUAAAACAUGUUGAGAUUUGCCGCUUCUCAUCUAUGUCUUCAUCUGUACAUGCUUUGAUUGAUAUAUACAGGACUCGAAACAUGAUGAAAUAGUAUCACUUAAGCAUUAUAACCUUUUUCCUUCUCUGUCAAUCAGCAUAUAGUCUUAUCCAUGUAUGCGCUUGUGUAUAAAAGCUGUAAAUUCAUUCUAAUAAGGUUGUGGUGGGACUAGGAAAAAGCAUUCAGAUUGGAUCGUGUAGAACGAUCGUUAUGUAUCCAAGGAAAAAAUGUGCAAUAUAUGUCUCUCAGAUGGUUCUUGGUUUCGGCUCUGGAAGCUUCAUUCAAUUUAUAUCUGUUCGUUAGGUGCUCAGGUCACAGAUAGAGUCCAUACAGUUCUCAUCCCUCUGAUUCUACGGGUGCCUGCUUGGCUCAAUUCACACUAAUGUUUCAUACAUAGCAUUGUUUUCCUCACAUUUUUUUCUUUUCUUUUUGUAACAGCUAUUAAGAUUCUUUUAGUGGUAAAAUAUUGGCAUUUAAUAGUGUCCUUUUUCUUGUCUCUUUUUUUUUUUCUGGCAUAAUGGUUAUUUAUUGCACAUGGUUUCCAUAGUCACACAAAGGAGUUUUGUUUAAACUGGGCUGGAGUUUCUUACAAUUUUUUGGAAGAUUUUGUUUAAAUUUUGAAAGUGUGUAUUUCAUGAAUAAAUGCCUUAAAAAGAA
ensembl:lncRNA